AACUGGUCCCUGGUGUGUGGGUGAAAGAUGGUGUCUGCCACUGUCCCCCCUAUAAAGGAAAGCAGCUGGAUUCAGCAAUUAAGCAUCAGGUCACUCCAGACCACAGCUGGAUACAGUGGGAAGUCAGAGUGAUGUUUAUAACAGAGAGUUAUGAGGAAGGGAGACGGAAAUUACGGGAAGCUGAACAGCGUUCUGACCUCCAGUCAGAAGCUGAAGAGUCUGGGAAAAAGAAAAGGCGAAAAAUGCCAAGUAGCAGACUUCUAGAUGCCACUAAUGGUGCUUCAAGUGAGAGUGAAGAAGAAGCAGGACUGCAGCAGAGUGACAGACGUCUACCUGAGGCCCCACCAAUCAGCCAAGUUAAAAUUUUAACACCAUUGCAGACUGCUAAUACUGCAAGUCGCAGUACUAUUCCCUGGCUGAAGAAUCCACCCCUCCCUCUGGAAAUGAUGUGGCAACCUACUGAUGCCCUACGUGGAGAGCAUGACCUAAACAAAAACCGUGCAGACUUGUUUUCCUCACCACCACCUCCUCCAGAGCCUUCAAAAGUUCAGAAGUCCUGGAUACCAUCUGAAGUCAAUCAGUUUCACCAAGACCAUGCAAAAACUUG